rnacentral:rRNA from 10 species
UUAAAUUGAAGAGUUUGAUCAUGGUCUCAGAUUGAACGCUGGCGAGGCCUAACACAUGCAAGUCGAGCGGCUAGCGGAAGUAGUUACUACGUU